UCAUCACCCCUGCAUCCUACAGCCUCUCCUGGCAUGCUCUCCUUUCUAGCCUGAAAUUCCUCCCAUUGUUGUCACCAGUGACUCCAGCACCCAAGGAAGGAGAAGAAUGUUUUCCCAGGAAGCUUCUGUGGAAAAGUCUGAGUUUGCCUAUGAAACAAGGAGCCGUGUAAUUCUUCCUGACAGCCACCUAUUUAAAAUGAAAGUCAAACACUCAGAAUUUUGUUUAAGAGUUGAGUCUUGGGGAGAAAAUGCAUUAAUUGCUAAACGUUGCUAAUUUCACUCUGAUGUGGUAACAAAAAGAAUGAAUCUCCAUACAUACACACAAGAGGACCAGUGACACCAGCGUUGGGGCAAGGACGGCAGUCAGAAUGUCAGAGCCAGAGGUCCGUCUCAGAGCUUGUGCGGUGAAACCCCUCCCUCAUUUCACAGAUGAGGACACUGAGGUCCAGAGAGGUUAAGUGACUUGCUGAAGGUUGUCCCAGCCUAGGCGGCAGGUCCAAGGCUGACUGACACCCACAGGCUUGAGUGGCCUCCUUGCAGCAGCUGGUUGAUCCCAGGAAAACAGAAGCCGCGCAUUCCUUCCGCAUAUCGGCACUCAGGCCAUCUGGGGUGCUGCCCGCCCUGCAGGGCUGCUGUGUUUCAAGUGCUGCCUGCCGGGGGUCCCUGUGCCAGACAAGCGGCCUGCAGAGACCCUCCUCCGAGGCUGGAGAUCUGUGCCUCGGUAACCAGGACAGUGGGCACAGACCCACUGAGCCACCAUCUGUGACAGCUGAGCUGUGAGACACAGGUGCCAAGGGCCUUUGUCGGCGAGCACGACUGCCGUCCGCGGGCCAGAGCCGGGGAGAGUGCCCGGCUGGGCAGGCAAGGCAGCUUGCGUGGGCUCCAGCCCUGGUCUAAGGUGCCUCUACAGCCUCCUGGUGAAGAAAGGCUGCUUGGCCCGAAGCCGUGGGUGUGUGGGCCCCACUGUGAAUGGAUGGAGCAUUAUUUCUGAACUCAGACGGCUAUCGGUUCAAAUCCCUUCUUCGCGGGGCACACGCGGUGAGCUGUUUCAACCUCUCUCUGUUUCUGAUCCUGCCUCUGGCCAGUGUGAUUCACAGCAUUGAUCAGGCAGAGUUUGGGGGCCAGUGAAUGCGUGCCACGUACCAGCCCAAGCGCCACAAAGGCGGCCGAGGCUUAGACCAGCAAGCACAAAACAGGGGCCCGAGGGCCUUGCUCAGCCACAGACGUCUUUGCAGGCCUGCAUGUGCAAUUCUACAAAUGUGAUUUGAAGGCACCCUGGCCAGGGCCUGAGCUCCCUGUAUGUCCUGAACCCACCGCCCCACGUCGGCUCACAGCCAGCCACUUCAUUCGUGUGACUCUCCUGAUUUUCCAGCCCUGAAGGGAUCCUUUCUGUCUCGCGCCAAAAGAUGCUUGUUCACCUCCUCUCCCGCUCCCACCAAAGCGCCAUGUCUUUUCCAUCCCAGCUCUGGUAACAUGGCCAGACCACGUCCAGUUUCCCACUCAACUGGGAGCACCUAGAGGGCAGGGGCCAUGUCAUAUCCCUACAUGAGCAGAUGUGGGCUCCAGGAGAUGCAGUCAUGCAACAAACGGGUUGCAUCUAGGGUCCAGGGACAUAGCUGUGAAUAAUUUUGAGAAGGGCCAAACCUGGGCUUAUGCCAGUGGGAGAGCUGAACAACUGCAUAAAUCAGCAAGAUUUGUAAGAAGAAGAAGGUAAAAAAAAAAAAAAAAAGGUAAUAAGGUGAUGCACUUGACCAGCGAGUGAGUGAGUGAGUGAGUGAAUAAAGGAGCAAAUAGUAAGAAUGGAAAUUUCAAUUUAACAACACAGGGACACUGGAUAGCCCCAAACAGGAAGAAAGGGGAACAAGGCUCAGUGAGGAACUGAAUCUUCAAGUUGAAUGGUUCAGCUCAUUCUUUUUAUCCACAAUUCGGCCCCUUGUGCCCACCCCCACUGCUACCUCCCUGGGCCAAGUUCUCAUCUUCUCUUGCCCACACUAUUGCAGUAGCGUCAUGGCUACUGUCCCCUGUCCUGCCUCUGAUCCCUCUGUAGUCAGCUGCCAACACAGUAGCCACAAUGUGAAAGUCAGAAUCAUUCCUCUACGCAAAACCCUAAUAGCUCACAUCAUUCUAAGGGAAAGGCAAGGUCAUUCCAUGUCAGGCCCUAUGUGACCGACCUGAGCCCCAGCACCUCCUUGUCCUCUUUCCUUCCUCACUCUGCUCCAGUCGCAGCGGUCUCCUUGUGGUUCCUGGAAAUGCCAGGAACAUUCCUGCCCCAGGACCUUUGCACAUAUGGUGCCUCUGCCUGGAAUGCUUUCCCCUCAGAUAACCACAACAGCUCCUGCCUUCAUUCCUUUAGGUGUUUGCUCAAGUGUCAUCUUCUCAGUGAGACCUUCCCUGGCUAUGCCAUCUGAAAUGCCAGCACCCCCUUGCAGUUGUUACUCACCCCUGCUUUAUACUUCUUUCUUAGUGGCUAUCAUCUUCUGAUCUAUUAUAUAUUUGACUACCUUAUCUUGUUUAUCAUUUGGCUUUCCCAUGGAUUUCUAUCUGAUCCAUUCACCCCAACAUCUAACACGGUGCCUGGCACACAGAAGCUCCAUAAAUUGGUGUUGGAAAAAUAAGUGAUCUUAACGAUGGGUUAACAGAGGGGCCCAGGCAGGGAGGGAGCAAGUCACAGCAUGACACCGGAAUUCCCAGGGAGCCGGAGGAACAGUUGCCUCUCACCUUCUGUUUCCUCCACUCCAAUGGAGUGUCAGAAGCUGGGUUCCUCCAUGAAUGGGGACUGACUCAGCAUGGAGGAGGUGGCCACCAGGGAGCAGGCUUACUGAGAUGUGGGCAUGAGGGCAUCUUUCUGGGGAAAGGAGGCAGCCACCUGCCCUGUCUGCCAUCCCACAGAACCCCCAGCCCCACCUACCUAAAAUUUCCUUCUGUCUACACAGCAACCCCACUUUGAGAUGGGAGGAGGGGCAGUUUAGUAGUUCCAACCUCCUCCCUCCCCGCCUUCCCCCAACCGGGCGCUGCUGGGACCCUUGGUAACUGCAGCCUGCACUCCUGUCGCCUGAACCAAGUGACCAGUCUGCUACCUUGGGAUCCUUCCUUGGCUGCUCAUUGCCCUCACAAUCAAGCUCCAAGUCCUUAGCUUUCAGAGCCCCUGGACCUGUCCCUCACGGUCUCUUGGGUCCUGCUGCUCCUGGGCAAGCCUGGAAGUCUGCCCGUGUCUUGCAGGUCCUGAGAGAAAGCCUGUGGCUCGCUGCCCCUGAGCCUACGCACCUGCUGUGCCCCAGCCAGAAUGCUAGGCCCAUCCUAGUUGAAGCUCACACAACACCAACAUUGACCACACUAAUUCUAGCUGGAUCAGACAGUGCUGAAGCUGACAGCUCAGGUUCAAGUCCCAUUUCUGCCAUCUCCUAGCUGACAGCCUUGGGGAUGUCACCCAACUUCUCUGUGCUCAGUCUCCCCAUCUAUAACAGGAGCAUGCUACUGCUCCCCACUUUUAAGUAUGGUGAGGAGACAACACAAGAUCAUGCCUGGCCUGGCCUGACUGGUGUCACGAUAAGCAAGCAAAUGCUAAAAGGCGCAAGAAAGGGGAGGAGGGCGAAGCAUCAACCACUGUGCAUUGAGUGCCACACACACAACAUCCUAUUCUAAUCCACUCAUGAGCCCAGUAAAGAACAUGCUAUUAUUGCUCUCAUUUUCCAAAUAAGAAACAGGGCUGUACCUGGGGUCUUCUCAGCCCUCUGCAGAGAAGGGUAGGGGAUACACCAGCUCAGAAGAAAAACUACCUAAAAGCAGUUGUCUUUUCGAUGUGUCUACUGCCAAGUUUCUGCCAGACUUUUUUAAAAAUUUAUUUAUUUUGAGGGAGAGAGAGAGAAAGCGUGAGUCAGGGAGGGGCAGAGAAAGAGGGAGAGAGAGAGAAUCCCAAGCAGGCUCUGUGCUGUCAGCUCAGAGCCCACGCCAGGCUUGAACCCAGGACUCAUGAGAUCACGACCUGAGCCGAAGUUGGACACUUAACCAACUGAGCCGCCCAGGCGUCCCUCUGCCAGACACUUUAAGUGCAGGACCUCACAUCCUCAAGACAGCCGUCUGGUAAUUUACAGAUGAGGCCAUCGAGACCUCAGAGACUCGCCCGGGAUUGCCCGGCGAGCAAGCAGCAGGUCUGGCUGGCUCCAGAUGCUGUGGUCUUUCUGGAAUAGUGUCCCGGCCAUGGAACUGCACCGCUGGCUCGGCUCUCCCUUCCCGAGAGAAUCUGUCCGGAGGAGAGCAGUGAGUUGACGGUGUCCAGCCUCUUGGCCUUCAGAACCCACCGAGGCAGUAGGACGAGGCCACACUCCACGAGCCAAAGGCGGAGUGCGGCAGUGGCACUGGGGGCUGGCCAUUUCUGAUCAAUGCAGGACACCUCUGCGGGGGGUCUGUCUACAGGGAGUUCCCCGCUAGGCUGGCAAGACUCUCCCAGAGCUGUGCUGCAAGCGAAGGCCUCUCUCUCUCUCUCUCUCUCUCUCUCGCUCCUCUCAGAAGGCUCAGAGCUGCACUGGGGUCUAGGGCUCUUCCACCAUGCGUGUUCCUUCCCUCCCUUUCCACGGGCACCCCCUGCAAUAAAUCCCUUGCACUUCUCACCCCUUCGUCUUGGCCUCGGCUUUCCAGGGACCCCAGCUGACGCCACACAUCAUCUUUCACCCACACUGGAAGGAAGACUCCUCAGGUACGGACAUGCACGGAACAGCAGGCGAGGGUGGGUACGCAGUGUUUCUGUGAUCCCAAGAGUAGAGGGGCCCCUGAUGGCCGGAGUCUGGAGCCUUCUGGCCAGGAGCACAGCAGCUUUUCCUCCUUCCUCAGGGGAGAGCAAGCAGGCUGAGAAUCAGAGUUAGUGCCCUUGUACCACCUCCUUAUGCUCUCUGGGCUUCAGUCUUCCUCAUCUGUGAAACAGGCAUGCUGAUACCUAAGCCACCACAUUGUCUUGAGAACCACAGAAAGUGUAUUUAAGAAAAAAAAUUUUUUUU